GUUGAACCGCUUUAUCCGAAGGAGAGUACCUCCAUGACGACCUCCUCCAACGGCUCAAUAGCCACCUCCUUUGCCUUAGCAGCCAUUUUCUUUGCUUCAGCUGCAGCCAACACCAGCACAGUCGGAGAGACAAAAAGUAAGGGGAUAGAUGGUAGCAAAAGAUCGACCCAUACAAGAAGAAAUCUAUAUGAUAAUUGAAGGGUCAUCUGGACCAGC
rnacentral:lncRNA from 1 species